rnacentral:rRNA from 1 species
UACAGAGGGGGCAAGCGUUGUUCGGAAUUACUGGGCGUAAAGAGCGUGUAGGCGCCAGGUAGGUCGGCUGUGAAAACUCGAGGCUCAACCUCGAGCUGUCGGCCGAAACCAUCUGGCUAGAGUCCGGAAGAGGAGAGUGGAAUUCCCGGUGUAGCGGUGAAAUGCGCAGAUAUCGGGAAGAACACCCGUGGCGAAGGCGGCUCUCUGGGACGGUACUGACGCUGAGACGCGAAAGCGUGGGGAGCGAACAGG